GACAGAGGUGUCAAGCGUUAGGCGGAAUCACUGGGCUUAAAGCGUGUGUAGGCGGACUUCUAAGUACCUUGUGAAAUCCCCCGGCUCAACCGGGGAACGGCUGGGUAUACUGGGAGUCUUGAGCCAGCUAGGGGUCGCCGGAACAAGUGGUGGAGCGGUGAAAUGCGUAGAUAUCACUUGGAACGCCAAUGGUGAAAACAGGCGACUGGGGCUGUGCUGACGCUGAGACACGAAAGCCAGGGGAGCGAACGGG
rnacentral:rRNA from 1 species